CCUACGGGAGGCAGCAGUGGGGAAUAUUGCACAAUGGGCGAAAGCCUGAUGCAGCGACGCCGCGUGAGGGAUGACGGCCUUCGGGUUGUAAACCUCUUUCAGCAGGGAAGAAGCGAAAGUGACGGUACCUGCAGAAGAAGCGCCGGCUAACUACGUGCCAGCAGCCGCGGUAAUACGUAGGGCGCAAGCGUUGUCCGGAAUUAUUGGGCGUAAAGAGCUCGUAGGCGGCUUGUCACGUCGGGUGUGAAAGCCCGGGGCUUAACCCCGGGUCUGCAUUCGAUACGGGCUAGCUAGAGUGUGGUAGGGGAGAUCGGAAUUCCUGGUGUAGCGGUGAAAUGCGCAGAUAUCAGGAGGAACACCGGUGGCGAAGGCGGAUCUCUGGGCCAUUACUGACGCUGAGGAGCGAAAGCGUGGGGAGCGAACAGGAUUAGAUACCCUGGUAGUCCACGCCGUAAACGGUGGGAACUAGGUGUUGGCGACAUUCCACGUCGUCGGUGCCGCAGCUAACGCAUUAAGUUCCCCGCCUGGGGAGUACGGCCGCAAGGCUAAAACUUAAAGAGUAAUGACGNGUGAGAGCGACGAGCACACGAGGUAG
rnacentral:rRNA from 1 species